CACGUAGGGCGCAAGCGUUGUCCGGAAUUAUUGGGCGUAAAGAGCUCGUAGGCGGUCUGUUGCGUCCGCUGUGAAAACCCGGGGCUUAACCCCUGGCUUGCAGUGGAUACGGACAGACUAGAGGUAGGUAGGGGAGAAUGGAAUUCCCGGUGUAGCGGUGAAAUGCGCAGAUAUCGGGAGGAACACCGGUGGCGAAGGCGGCAUCCUGGACCGGCAUUGACGCUGAGGCGCGAAAGCCAGGGGAGCAAACGGG
rnacentral:rRNA from 1 species